AGGUGCUGCUGGUGUCGGCGCUGCUGUCCGGGACGCCGAAAACAAGAGUUGUACUCCUUUUUCCUUUAAAGAAAAUAUGUGAUUACACCGGUGUCUCCCAACUGACGGGACAUGGAGCAAGCUUUCAUGUCAGUGGUCAUGACCACGGAGUCAGCAGACGAGGAAAACAACCUUGGGAAGCUCUGCUUUGAGCCAUCAAUUAUUGAUGAUAUAAGACAGGCAGCCUGUCAGAGUACUCCGGGGUAUGUGAUGGCUCAAGGAAAGGCUUUAAUUGACAUGAAAACUUGGAUGAGGUGAAGAGAAGAAGCAGAUCAGCCCACAUAUAACAUUAACAUCAGCAUAACAUCACUCUGACGAUUCAAUGGGAUAUACAGUAGCUGUAGAUCAAAUUCUCCUGUCUUCAAGUUUUAAGAUACACAAAGAAGCUGACAUGUCUGACCAGGGAUCAUCUCUCAAGUCAUCUUUCUCCGGUCUUAUCACAGCAAACUCCUUAACUUAUAAGUUGCAUUUCUGCAUUUGGAGUAUGAUUUUGUUCUUUUUCUUUUUAAAAUGUAAUGAUGUUCUACAGAGUUUAUUAUUCAACAAGAAAAAAAUAAAGAAAACAUCAAUUAUGCUGCUUUAUAUUAUAUAACAAAUGGUGGAAUAAGACUUAAAUAACAAAUGUAAGUGUCUAAAAGUGAAUUAAAUUUAGAUGAUGUGAAUUUAGAGCAGCUUUUAAUUCAACAGAGUUGGAGUGGAAGUACAAUAUAACUUGGUUCCUUAGAGGUGAAAUUUCUGCUCAUCUGGUACAUUGUUUGUUUUGUGACACCUCUUAUCCGUAGUAGCUCAACCAACCUCAUGUGCACUCAGCUCUGAGAGGCCUUUUUCUGGAGCAAAUUAAUUCCCAGUCGGAGAUUAACUGUUAUGAAUGGAUUGGGUGGAAGAGAUGUAUGAACGCUCCGUGUUUCUACACAGCAUUCUGCUCCCAGUGACAAAGAUACUGGAGGUUGUCCUACUUCUGUUGGAGGAAAAAUGUGACUUUGUACAGUAGCUCAGGGGAGUCUCUGCGUGGGGAUGGGAGGGCAGGCAUGUUAACAGAUGUGCACAAGAAUUGCACCCACUGGACGUUUCCUUACAAAAAUGACGAUGUAGAGCUGUAAAACUGUGAAUUUGGCUACUUCACAUUGAUCAUAGACUUACUGAGAUACAGUGUUCUUGUUUCACAAAACCUACUACACUGUGCUGAAAUGUGCAGUGUGCCUGUGUCUGUGUCAUUAGUUCAGGCCUAAACAGUGCCCCAACAUUCAGCCUGAGUCUCAUAAUAUUGUGUAAACUGUGACGACCCCUGUCUUUGUGUAUUUGCUUGGGCUGCCUUUCAGAUGCCUGGUGGGCGGGGCAGGGGAUCAUCAGCCAUCAGCCAACUGGGAACACCUGGGCCCGGUGCUCC